rnacentral:misc_RNA from 1 species
GUAUUUGUUUUCUUACAGGAUUUAGGAUAAUAGUAUUGAGCAUAACCCUAUUUUCAUGUGGUCACAAAGCAAAUACCACAGCAUAAAAUUUCUUCUAAAAUAGGGAGCACAGUGCACUCAUUCCAUCUAUUAAAUUUCUAUAUUCUCUCGCAUGGUUUGAAGUUCCUUAAACAUGAUAUAGCUAUUCUGUAAGUUUCACGGAUUAAUAGCUUUCAUUUUGUUUUUGUAGGACAUCAUCGAGGCCAAAGAA